rnacentral:rRNA from 1 species
UGGGGGAUAUUGCACAAUGGGCGAAAGCCUGAUGCAGCGACGCCGCGUGGGGGAUGAAGGCUUUCGGGUUGUAAACCUCUUUCGCUAUCGAACAAGGCCCGCUUAGGGUGGGUUGAGGGUAGGUGGAGAAGAAGCGCCGGCUAACUACGUACCAGCAGCCGCGGUAAUACGUAGGGCGCGAGCGUUGUCCGGAAUUAUUGGGCGUAAAGGGCUUGUAGGCGGCUUGUUGCGCCUGCUGUGAAAACGGGGGGCUUAACAUCGCGCGUGCAGUGGGUACGGGCAGGCUUGAGUAUGGUAGGAGUGACUGGAGUUCCAGGUGUAGCGGUGGAAUGCGCAGAUAUCUGGAGGAACACCGAUGGUGAAGGCAGGUCACUGGGCCAUUACUGACGCUGAGGAGCGAAAGCAUGGGUAGCGAACAGG